rnacentral:rRNA from 1 species
AACGAACGCUGGCGGCAGGCUUAACACAUGCAAGUCGAACGCAUCGCAAGAUGAGUGGCAGACGGGUGAGUAACGCGUGGGAACAUACCCUUUUCUACGGAGUAGCUCUGGGAAACUGGAAUUAAUACCGUAUACGCCCUACGGGGGAAAGAUUUAUCGGGGAAGGGUUGGCCCGCGUUGGAUUAGCUAGUUGGUGGGGUAAAGGCCUACCAAGGCGACGAUCCAUAGCUGGUCUGAGAGGAUGAUCAGCCACAUUGGGACUGAGACACGGCCCAAACUCCUACGGGAGGCAGCAGUGGGGAAUAUUGGACAAUGGGCGCAAGCCUGAUCCAGCCAUGCCGCGUGAGUGAUGAAGGCCUUAGGGUUGUAAAGCUCUUUCACCGAUGAAGAUAAUGACGGUAGUCGGAGAAGAAGCCCCGGCUAACUUCGUGCCAGCCGCCGCCGUAAAAC